rnacentral:rRNA from 1 species
GUGGGGAAUAUUGGACAAUGGGGGGAACCCUGAUCCAGCCAUGCCGCGUGUGUGAAGAAGGCCUUUUGGUUGUAAAGCACUUUAAGCGAGGAGGAGGCUACCGAGAUUAAUACUCUUGGAUAGUGGACGUUACUCGCAGAAUAAGCACCGGCUAACUCUGUGCCAGCAGCCGCGGUAAUACAGAGGGUGCAAGCGUUAAUCGGAUUUACUGGGCGUAAAGCGCGCGUAGGUGGCCAAUUAAGUAAAAUGUGAAAUCCCCGAGCUUAACUUGUGAAUUGCAUUCGAUACUGGUUGGCUAGAGUAUGGGAGAGGAUGGUAGAAUUCCAGGUGUAGCGGUGAAAUGCGUAGAGAUCUGGAGGAAUACCGAUGGCGAAGGCAGCCAUCUGGCCUAAUACUGACACUGAGGUGCGAAAGCAUGGGGAGCAAACAGGAUUAGAAACCCCUGUAGUCC